AAAGCUAUGUUCCAGUAUGAUGGCACAUUCCUGGGAGAGUGUGAGCAGGAUCUCUGGGACCAGAUCCGAAAACAACUCUGGAGUGAGGUCCUCGAGGAGGUACAGCUUCCACAGAAAGAAUCCCUCCCAACCUCAGAACAUCGAUAUCUAGGUCAACUGGAUAUGUGGAUGCUGUUUCUGUCAGAGCAGCCCCUGGUGCAAUGGCUGAAUGAAC